rnacentral:rRNA from 1 species
UGAGGAAUAUUGGUCAAUGGGCGAGAGCCUGAACCAGCCAAGUAGCGUGCAGGAUGACGGCCCUAUGGGUUGUAAACUGCUUUUAUGUGGGGAUAAAGCGCGUGACGUGUCAUGCAUUGCAGGUACCACAUGAAUAAGGACCGGCUAAUUCCGUGCCAGCAGCCGCGGUAAUACGGAAGGUCCGGGCGUUAUCCGGAUUUAUUGGGUUUAAAGGGAGCGUAGGCUGUCUAUUAAGCGUGUUGUGAAAUUUACCGGCUCAACCGGUGGCUUGCAGCGCGAACUGGUCGACUUGAGUAUGCAGGAAGUAGGCGGAAUUCAUGGUGUAGCGGUGAAAUGCUUAGAUAUCAUGACGAACUCCGAUUGCGCAGGCAGCUUACGGGAGCGCAACUGACGCUGAAGCUCGAAGGUGCGGGUAUCGAACAGG